GCCUAACACAUGCAAGUCGAGCGGUAGCACAAGAGAGCUUGCUCUCCGGGUGACGAGCGGCGGACGGGUGAGUAAUGUCUGGGAAACUGCCUGAUGGCGGGGGAUAACUAGUGGAAACGGUAGCUAAUACCGCAUAACGUCGCAAGACCAAAGUGGGGGACCUUCGGGCCUCACGCCAUCAAAUGUGCCCAGGUGGGAUUAGCUGGUAGGUGGGGUAACGGCUCACCUAGGCGACGAUCCCUAGCUGGUCUGAGAGGAUGACCAGCCACACUGGAACUGAGACACGGUCCAGACUCCUGCGGGAGGCAGCAGUGGGGAAUAUUGCACAAUGGGCGCAAGCCUGAUGCAGCCAUGCCGCGUGUGUGAAGAAGGCCUUCGGGUUGUAAAGCACUUUCAGCGAGGAGGAAAGGUAAUGUGUUAAUAAGACAUUGCAUUGACGUUACUCGCAGAAGAAGCACCGGCUAACUCCGUGCCAGCAGCCGCGGUAAUACGGAGGGUGCAAGCGUUAAUCGGAAUUACUGGGCGUAAAGCGCACGCAGGCGGUUUGUUAAGUCAGAUGUGAAAUCCCCGCGCUCAACGUGGGAACGGCAUUUGAAACUGGCAAGCUAGAGUCUUGUAGAGGGGGGUAGAAUUCCAGGUGUAGCGGUGAAAUGCGUAGAGAUCUGGAGGAAUACCGGUGGCGAAGGCGGCCCCCUGGACAAAGACUGACGCUCAGGUGCGAAAGCGUGGGGAGCAAACAGGAUUAGAUACCCUGGUAGUCCACGCUGUAAACGAUGUCGAUUUGGAGGUUGUGCCCUUGAGGGGUGGCUUCCGUAGCUAACGCGUUAAAUCGACCGCCUGGGAAGUACGGCCGCAAGGUUAAAACUCAAAUGAAUUGACGGGGGCCCGCACAAGCGGUGGAGCAUGUGGUUUAAUUCGAUGCAACGCGAAGAACCUUACCUACUCUUGACAUCCAGAGAACUUUCCAGAGAUAGAGGGAUGCCUUCGGGAGCUCUGAGACAGGUGCUGCAUGGCUGUCGUCAGCUCGUGUUGUGAAAUGUUGGGUUAAGUCCCGCAACGAGCGCAACCC
rnacentral:rRNA from 1 species